rnacentral:rRNA from 1 species
UACGUAGGCAGCGAGCGUUGUUCGGAGUUACUGGUCGUAAAGCGUGCGUAGGCGGUGUCUUAAGUUUGUUGUGAAAUCUCCCGGCUUAACCGGGAGGGUGCGGCGAAUACUGAGAUGCUGGAGUGCCGGAGAGGUAAGCGGAAUUCCUGGUGUAGCGGUGAAAUGCGUAGAUAUCAGGAGGAACACCUGCGGUGUAGACGGCUUACUGGACGGUAACUGACGCUGAGGCACGAAAGCGUGGGUAGCAAACAGG